rnacentral:rRNA from 1 species
GCUUGGUUGAUCCUGCCAACAAUCAUAUGCUUGUCUAAAAGAUUAAGCUUUGCAUAUGUAAGUAUGAAUUGAUUCAGAUUAUGAAACUACAAAUGACUCAUUAAAUCAGUUAUAAUUUGUUUGAUGGUAUGCCCCUACUCAGAUAACUAUAGUAAUUCUAGAGCUAAUAUGUGCAACAAACUCUGACCUUUGGGAGGGAUGCAUUUAUUAGAUAAAAGGUUGAUGCGGACUUUGCCCGUUGUUCCGAUGAUUCAUGGUAACUCGAUGGAUCACACCGCCCCUCGUGCUGGCGAUACAUCAUUCAAAUUUCUGCCCUAUUAACUUUCAAUGAUAGGAUAGUUGUCUACCAUGGUGGUGAUGGGUAACGUAGAAUUAGGGUUCGAUUUUAGAGAGGGAGUAUGAGAAACGACUACUACAUCCAAGGAAGGCAGUAAGCGCGCAAAUUACCUAAUCUUGACAUGGGGAGGUAGUGACAAUAAAUAACAAUAUUGGACUCUUUGAGUUUGGCAAUUAGAAUUAGUACAAUCUAAAUCCCUUAACGAGGAUCCAUUGGAGGGCAAGUUUGGUGCCAGUAGCCACGGUAAUUCCAACUGCAAUAGCAUAUAUUUAAGUUGUUGCAGUUAAAGAGCUCGUAGUCGGACCUUAGGUUGAGUCGAUCGGUCUGCCUUGUUGUGUGUAUUGGUCAUCUCGUCCCUUCUGCCAAUGAUGCGUGUCUAGCUUAGUUGGUCUGGUCGUGGUUGUGACGCGGUUACUUUGAAGAAAUUAGAGUGCUCAAAGCAAGCCCACGCUCUGGAUACAUUAGCAUGGGAUAACAUCACAGGAUUUCGUUCCUAUUGUGUUGGCCUUGGGGAUUGGAGUAAUGAUUAAGAGGGACAGUCGGGGGCAUUCAUAUUUCAUAGUCAGAGGUGAAAUUCUUGGAUUUAUGAAAGACGAACCACUGCGAAAGCAUUUGCCAAGGAUGUUUUCAUUAAUCAAGAACGAAAGUUGGGGGCUCGAAGACGAUCAGAUACCGUCCUAGUCUCAACCAUAAACGAUGCCGACCAGGGAUCGGCGGAUGUUGCUCUUAGGACUCCGCCGGCACCUUAUGAGAAAUCAAAGUCUUUGGGUUCCGGGGGGAGUAUGGUCGCAAGGCUGAAACUUAAAGGAAUUGACGGAAGGGCACCACCAGGAGUGGAGCCUGCGGCUUAAUUUGACUCAACACGGGGAAACUUACCAGGUCCAGACAUAGCAAGGAUUGACAGACUGAGAGCUCUUUCACGGAAAUAGGUACAUGUAUAAUUGCUGAUUUGGGAGGUAAAGUCUCCCAAACUGAAUGUCAAACCAUACAAGGUAGUUAGAAGUUUAUCCUCUACAGUUGAGGUAAACUCCUUGAUCACCGUUCGGUACUCUUACAAACUCAUGCAAAUUACCACACCAUUAUGCAUCACAUGGCCACAAUUCCGCCCAUUGUAAUGUUUACAAAACAUCUCAUAAAAAUAUUAUGGAAGACCCAAUCCUCCAUCACCCGACCAACUCCUUCAAUUAUAUAUAUUUUCCGGUCGGGUAUUAAUAGCCCAGUUUAUUUCACUGCACGCACACCGUCAUAUCCCGAUCGAUCAUUCAUGUCCAAGUCUGCCACCUAUGUCUUGAUUAGUCAUUCAUGUACAAGUCUACCAUCUAUGUCCCAGUCGACCAUUCAUAUCUCGGUCGGCUAUAUAUCCCGGUCCGUCAUUCAUGUCUCGACUGGGUAUUAGCUGUACACAGUCAUAUCUCGAUUAUCCAUACAUACCCGGUCAGUCAUUCAUGUCAUGGCCAAUCCUUCAAUUUGCAAGUGCUUAAGACUAUGGAAGUUUCAGGUCCACAAAUCUGUGGACAUGUAUCUGGACCUUCCGAAAUAACCAAUCCACGUCUGAUGUAAUGUCUUGGUAUCGACAUCUAUUCCUUGCUUCCCACACAUAGUAGAUUAAGCUAGAGAUGCCUAGAUGCUUGGCCUUCAUUUUCCGGCCACCACCCUUGUAAUGCCUUCCAAAAACCUAUGUAACUCUUCAAAGGAUUUGAAGUUGUGUUUGAUUUCCAACCAUCGCUUCACCUUGCACCAAAGUUCGCAACCACCAGACAUUCAAAAAAACAUGAUGUUUUGAUUCCCCUUGUUGUCGGCACAUGACACACUCCUUGCUUGGUUCAUAUUCCAUUCUAUCCUUGGUCCUCAACCUUCCAUAAGCUAGCAUCCAUAGUGUGAAGCGAUGCUUUGGCAUGAUUUUCGGCCUCCACAACCUAGACUUCCAUGGAACUUCCGGUCCUCUUAGCAUGAAGAAAUUAUAUACAUUUGAAACUCCAUUUCCUAUUCCAACAAAUCAAUCCAUCAUCCUCAUAUUUGCCUCCCCCACACCACUUGAUGUCACUAGUAUCUUGCUUUGGAUUUCCAAUAGCCUCUUGGUUAAAGGAGAGUCCAACUUCUUCUCUUGCCAUGACAAAAAAUCUGCACGCUUCAUAUAAUGUUAGUGUACCCACUUAACCCAAAGUGAAUCAAUUUUUGCUUAAAUA